rnacentral:rRNA from 1 species
CCUACGGGGGGCAGCAGUGAGGAAUAUUGGUCAAUGGCCGGAAGGCUGAACCAGCCAUGCCGCGUGAAGGUCAGUGCCCUAUGGGCGUUAAACUUCUUUUGUCCGGGAGCAAUACUGGUCACGUAUUGCCCGCCGAGAGUACCGUUCGAAUCAGCAUCGGCUAACUCCGGGCCAGCAGCCGCGGUAAUACGGGGGAUCCGAGCGUUAUCCGGAUUUAUUGGGUUUAAAGGGAGCGUAGAUGGGUUGUUAAGUCAGUUGUGAAAGUUUGCGGCUCAACCGUAAAAUUGCAAUUGAUACUGGCAGUCUUGAGUACAGUUGAGGUAGGCGGAAUUCGUGGUGUAGCGGUGAAAUGCUUAGAUAUCACGAAGAACCCCGAUUGCGAAGGCAGCUUACUAAACUGUGACUGACAUUGAUGCUCGAAAGUGUGGGUAUCAAACAGGAUUAGAUACCCCCGUAGUC